rnacentral:rRNA from 1 species
GUGCCAGCAGCCGCGGUAAGACGAAGGACCCAAGCGUUAUCCGGAUUCAUUGGGUUUAAAGGGUGCGUAGGCGGGUUGAUAAGUCAGUGGUGAAAGCCCAACGCUUAACGUUGGAACUGCCAUUGAUACUGUCGAUCUUGAAUGUGUUUGAUGUGGGCGGAAUAUGACAUGUAGCGGUGAAAUGCUUAGAUAUGUCAUAGAACACCGAUUGCGAAGGCAGCUCACAAAGCCACUAUUGACGCUGAGGCACGAAAGCGUGGGGAUCAAACAGGAUUAGAAACCCCUGUAGUCC